AUUAUGGCCUAUAGCUACACCUAUGUCAACUGUAUCGUAAAGUGGCGUCAUUGAGAAGUCAUUUUGGGGGUGUUACAUCGAUGAUAAUCCUCGCAGCAACAGCAGCGAUUAUUGUCGAGAUUUUUCAUCGGGGUAUCAGGUCCCGUUUCGCUAACCGAUGUCAAGUACGUGUCCACGCUUUUGGUAUCCAAAGACGCCAAAGACCACGAUAAGGAAAUCGCUUCGUGUUCCGGAAUCGUGUAACGUCGAGACGAAGUAGUUUCCCGCAACGAAACCUUCGACUGCUCGCAGCUACUUUCCGAGGAUUUAUUCGCCGGUCUAUUUUUUCUCGACAGCUUCUUUAUUGCCUGCAAUAAAAAUAUAGAAGAUGGAUUAAAAUUCGGUUGAUGGAAUCAAUAUUGCUCACCCUUAGGAUCCUCAGGCCGGACUUGGUGAGCGCCUUUUUCAACAUUCUUCAACCCGCACAAUGUCUACGUCGAGUUGUGAUGAGAAUUCUUAUGAGAAUAAUUGAAAUUUGAAUACUUUCGAGCAGCACUGCCGCAUAUCUUGUCCGCGAGGCUUUUUAUCCGACACAAAACAUAGAAAAGCCACGCGUUCACCUGGCGUAAAACCACGCGGUGUAGGUCACAGGUAUUGAUUCCGCCCGAAGUAACUCGUACAACGCGGUGUUGACCUUCUCAACCCCGACCCUGAUGUGCGAAUUUAUACGUGGAUAUAGAGAUCUGUAGACGAGAAUAAUAUUUAUAACAAAUAUCGUAUACAUGACGCAUUGCAUAUGGCAGUUUUGGCCGUCAAAUAGAUCGAUCCGCUAUCACAUCGUUUUCUGUGCACGAUAAAAGUCUAUUCGAUUUCUGGGACCUCCGAAGAGAAUGCGAUGUAGCAAAUCUGCAGUUUCGGUUUGGUCAGGUAUUGGAAAGCAGGUACGCACAUCGAAUGAGCGAAGUACAUAUGUACGUGUUGUAGAUGAGAUUCAAGAAUAUUCUUUUCCAGAUCAGAGGAGAAAAUAGACGAUGAUCGUGAGACGCGUGUGAGUACCGGCGUUCUCACGCGCCGCCACGUGCCUCGUAACACACCCUUCAAUCUUCAAUCUUCCUCCCUUACCCUCGCUAUCGCCCCUUCCACGCGUGCUUGCUUCUCUUUCUCUCUCUCUCUCUUUCUCUGAUUACCCAUCGGUCUUCGAAGUUUCACACUCAACGAAAUCGUUCAAAUGAUUGCACACCUUCCAAUCGGGGAAACAAUUACCGUGUACGUUCGUACAACGAUGACGCAACGUGAUCGGCCGCGUGCCGGCGCGUGGCGUAAAUGCGUCGAAUAAGUACGUACGAGCCCUUUUUCCUUAUACUUUUCAAUCCUCCCCGCUGGGCCGUUCUAUAGGCGCAUAUAUUCAAACAAAAUAAUAGUAUAUAAGGCCCGCUAAUUGCGACGAACGUUCCAUUAGAAAUUAAGCCUGAAAAAGAUGGAUUGAAUCCGAUUCCUGUUUUAAUUAACGCACAACCGCUGAUUGUCGAGUCUUGUAUCCGAUGCCCGUGAAAGGAUAUCGCGAUUACGUUAUAAUAGAUCGAGAAUUCGUCCAUCGGAGUAACUAGUAGUCAAAAUUUGAGCGGACAUUUUGAGAUAAAUUUACCAAUUAUAAGGAGUGAAUAUCAAUAGCUUUGGGCAUAAUUAUUAUCUACUGACUAUAAAAACGCUGCUGCACGUAUGAAUCUUCUUAAUUAAAUGUACCCACAAUUCUUUACCCACCUCGUAUCCACCGCAUUCCGCGUUAAAACUGUAAAUAGAAAGAGUUUAGCUGUUUACUUGAAUAUUGCAAAAAUUAUAUUUCAAUAUCCAGUCUUCAGGGUCGAAUUAUUAUACAAAUAAUAAUUCGACCCUGAUGUUAUAUACUGCUCAUGAUUAAAUAUACCAAUCAUUAUCUGACUGUAAGUUGCAGAUGCAAUAUUUAAUUGCCAUUUUGGCACAAGUUUUGUGGGAGCUCUACUGAAGUGCUCCAUGUGUGGGCUCGAGAUUGUUAUCACGGCAUUGACUAAUCUCUUGGUACCUACCGACCGAUCAAUUUUGUAAAACGAAGAAGAGUUAUCAUUUUACUAUGCCUGUCUCUACACCAUUUCCCACUUAUGGGAUAUAGACUUACGGUUCCCUCCAGGGUAUGCUCCAAAGUAUAGGUAGCUAUACACAAUAUUGUAGGGGUGUUAAUCCUGGAGUUUCGAACGCGUGGGAAUCGCCUCCGCUUAGACCUCUCA